rnacentral:sRNA from 1 species
CAGCAGGGCCCCAGGACAUUGUUGGAAGUCGCCCUCAGGUUCUGAGCCCCUCCCUUCUGUACUGUGGGGGUCAUCCCGAGAGUCCUCUCCUGGAGCCCUGUGCCUGGGGAGGUGCGACCAGCGUGGCAUGGAUGGCGGGCUUCCACAGGGGCCUUUCCUGGCUUGUCCUUUUCUGGGAGAAACCUGAGCCGACUGCCACCUUCCUCAGGUGUGUUUUGGGUAAAGUCUUGAGGCCAAAAAGAUCUUGCGUCCCUCAAGCACUCUGAGCUAGUGCUGAGCCAGGGCACAGGCAGGCCCCGCGCCGGGGUCUUGAGCUCUGCCUCCUUCGCACUGUACUGAGCUGAGUGUGAGGAUGGUGCCAGCCCAGGCCCUGCAGUUUCUGGAGCCCUCGAUGUUCGUUGUCUCGCAUGAGCCUCACAGCCGCCUGGCAAAGUCCGUUUACCGGACAGGGUACAUUUUCCCAUUUCACAGAGGAGGAAACAGGCUCAGAGAAGUUAAUCCGUUGGUCCAGAGUCACACAGUAAGACCUGGAGCCCAGACUCCAUCUCCUGCCUCCUGUUUGGACCCUGAGGGGCUGGGGCUGGCUGCCUGCUCCUGGAACCCCCACCCAGUGUCAGAAGCUCCUGGUCCAGGCAGUAGCAGGCUGCCCGCUCCCGGCCCAGCGGAGGCCUGUGCAGAGCGUGAUGGGCCCUGUGUCUGUUGCAGGUGCACUGUGAAGAGUUCAUCCCCGAGUUUGAGAAGCAAUACCCAGAAUUUCCCUGGACGGACGUCCAGGCUGAGAUCUUCCGGGCCUUCACGGAGCUGUUCCAGGUGGCCUGUGCCAAGCCACCGCCCCUGGGCCUCUGCGACUACCCCUCAUCCCGGGCCAUGUAUGCCGUCGACCUCAUGCUGAAGUGGGACAGCGGCCCAGAUGGAAAGCGGGUGAUGCAGCCGCAGAUCCUGGAGGUGAACUUCAACCCCGACUGUGAGCGAGCCUGCAGGUACCACCCCACCUUCUUCAACGACGUCUUCAGCACCUUGUUUCUGGACCAGUCCGGUGGCUGCCAUGUUACCUGCCUUGUCUAGGCACUCGCUGUCCCCAAAACCUGUGUUUGGAGCAGGAUUCCAACCUCAGUUCUCUGAGCUGCUUCUGCAAAGGUUCCCAUGUCCCUCCCCACACCGGCCCUGGGCAUAGCGUCAGCCCCAGGCCUCUGUCCUCCCGAGCCAUCCUGCCGAGCCAUCCUCCUGGCCCCACACUCCGGGAGCACAGCAUCCUCCUCUUACCUGUGGGUCAGAGCAGGACAGUGAUGGUGUCCCCGGGGCUGAGCACCGCCCCAGGCCCUGCCCUCACCACCAUCCGUGCACUGAUGAGUCUCCAGUUUAGCCAAGGGCUUCGUUCCUGGCAUGGAGAAUUUGUUCCUGGCUGCUGUGUUUCCAGGGGGUGCUGGGGGAAGGGUUCCGUGGAGCGAGACAAGGUGUCCUUGGGAGCAGGGUUCCACCGGGAAGUGUUUGGGAGCCCUGUGUCACACGGGGCAGGUGAGUUUCUCUUCCGGGGUCUCUGCUCUUAUGCAUCAGGAUGACCCCGGGACGGCUGUGGGGCUCCACACUGCACCCACAGGGCUCUAUGCGACAGGGGCCCAGGAACAGUCUGAGGCCACCACCCAGCAAGCCUGCCUUAUCACCCAUUCCAGCUCACCCAGAACCUUCACCAGCAAACCUCCUGCUGAAGUCCUGGCAGGAAGCCACCAUCUUGUUACCUUUUCCUUUUCCAUUUGCUGAGGGUCACAGACCCCAACAGGGAAAUCAGUAUCUGUCUUCCCAGUGGUUGCCCUGCUCGCCGGGCACUCCACGGGGUCCCGCCCUUGUCUGAGAUGGGCCAGGAUCCUUCAGCAAGGGGUGCCUGGGGCUGGGGCUGAUUGUGGGCAGUGGAACACCAGACAGAAAAGGAUUCCAAUGAGAACUUCAGGUUAAAGUCAGAUGCCACCUACCAGGGUCUACAGUCAAAAUGUUGGCUUUUUCUUAUUUUUUAAUGUAUGGGAGAAAAAUGUAAAAUUCCAGUUCUUUUCUAAUUAUGUUUCUGAAAUUAGGAGUCAGCUACCAGCGUUUUUGUGUGGCUGCAGUGUGCCUGGGCCCAGCUCACGGGCAGUGGGUGGACCUAACUGCCCAGGCAGGCGGGAGCUACUUCCAGAGCCUUCCAGUGCAUGGGAGGGCAGGGCUGGGUGUGGCGGUGUCUCCUCUUUGAAAUUAAGAACUAUCUUUCUUGUAGCAAAGCUGCACCUGAUGAUGCUGCCUCUCCUCUCCAUGUUGUCUGGGUCCCUGUUUACAAGCACGCGUUGCCCUUCCUGAGGGGAGCCAUGCUCUAGCCCCUGGAGGGCCUGUUGCAGGGGCAGGGUGGGCCCAUCGCCUUUGGCAGCUCCUGGAGAGCUGUUGACAUGCAGUCCCCCUCGGUUCGUGCUGCAAUAAAGUCCAUCUUCUCUU